AGAGUUUGAUCCUGGCUCAGAAUGAACGCUGGCGGCGUGCCUAACACAUGCAAGUCGAACGAGAAAGUUCCUUCGGGAAUGAGUAGAGUGGCGCACGGGUGAGUAACGCGUGGGUAAUCUGCCCUUGGAUUUGGGAUAACUUCGCGAAAGUGGAGCUAAUACCGGAUAGUCUGGCUUUGUAAAAGGAGUCGGUAAAGGAUGCCUCUGCAUAUGCAUUCGUCCGAGGAUGAGCCCGCGUCUCAUUAGCUAGUUGGUAGGGUAACGGCCUACCAAGGCGACGAUGAGUAGCUGGUCUGAGAGGAUGAUCAGCCACACUGGGACUGAAACACGGCCCAGACUCCUGCGGGAGGCAGCAGUGGGGAAUAUUGCGCAAUGGGCGAAAGCCUGACGCAGCAACGCCGUGUGAGGGAUGAAGGUUUUCGGAUCGUAAACCUCUGUCAGAAGGGAAGAAGUGGUGCGGGUCCAACAGGCCCGUAUCUUGACGGUACCUUCAAAGGAAGCACCGGCUAACUCCGUGCCAGCAGCCGCGGUAAUACGGAGGGUGCAAGCGUUAUUCGGAAUUACUGGGCGUAAAGCGCACGUAGGCGGCCUUGUAAGUCAGGUGUGAAAUCCCACGGCUCAACCGUGGAACUGCACUUGAAACUGCGGGGCUCGAAUCCUGGAGAGGGCGGCGGAAUUCCUGGUGUAGGAGUGAAAUCCGUAGAUAUCAGGAGGAACACCGGUGGCGAAGGCGGCCGCCUGGACAGGUAUUGACGCUGAGGUGCGAAAGUGUGGGGAGCAAACAGGAUUAGAUACCCUGGUAGUCCACACCGUAAACGAUGGAUACUAGGUGUCGGGGACUUGAUCCUCGGUGCCGCAGUUAACGCGUUAAGUAUCCCGCCUGGGGAGUACGGUCGCAAGGCUGAAACUCAAAGAAAUUGACGGGGGCCCGCACAAGCGGUGGAGUAUGUGGUUUAAUUCGAUGCAACGCGAAGAACCUUACCUGGGCUUGACAUCCUGGGAAUUCCGCAGAGAUGCGGAAGUGCCCUUCGGGGAAUCCAGAGACAGGUGCUGCAUGGCUGUCGUCAGCUCGUGCCGUGAGGUGUUGGGUUAAGUCCCGCAACGAGCGCAACCCCUAUCCUCAGUUGCCAGCAGGUAAAGCUGGGCACUCUGUGGAGACUGCCCGGGUUAACCGGGAGGAAGGUGGGGACGACGUCAAGUCAUCAUGGCCCUUACGCCCAGGGCUACACACGUACUACAAUGGUGGGCACAAAGGGCAGCGAAACCGCGAGGUCCAGCCAAUCCCAAAAAAACCAUCAUAGUCCGGAUUGCAGUCUGCAACUCGACUGCAUGAAGUUGGAAUCGCUAGUAAUCCCGGAUCAGCAUGCCGGGGUGAAUACGUUCCCGGGCCUUGUACACACCGCCCGUCACACCACGAAAGUCGGUUCUACCCGAAGCCGCCAGGCUAACCCGCAAGGGAUGCAGGCGUCUACGGUAGGGCUGGUAAUUGGGGUGAAGUCGUAACAAGGUAACC
rnacentral:rRNA from 1 species